GUGUCAGCAGCCGCGGUAAUACGUAGGGUGCAAGCGUUGUUCGGAAUUAUUGGGCGUAAAGCGCGUGUAGGUGGUUAGGAAAGUUGGAUGUGAAAUCCCUGGGCUUAACUCAGGAAGUGCAUCCAAAACUCUCUAGCUAGAGGGCGAGAGAGGGAGGUGGAAUUCCUAGUGUAGAGGUGAAAUUCGUAGAUAUUAGGAGGAAUACCGGUGGCGAAGGCGGCCUCCUGGAUCGCACCUGACACUGAGACGCGAAAGCGUGGGGAGCAAACAGGAUUAGAUACCCUGGUAGUCCACGCCGUAAACGAUGGGUACUAGAUGUUGUGGGAAUUGACCCCCGCAGUGUCGCAGCUAACGCAUUAAGUACCCCGCCUGGGAAGUACGGCCGCAAGGUUAAA
rnacentral:rRNA from 1 species